CUACGUGCCAGCAGCCGCGGUAAUACGGAAGGUCCGGGCGUUAUCCGGAUUUAUUGGGUUUAAAGGGAGCGUAGGCUGGAGAUUAAGUGUGUUGUGAAAUGUAGACGCUCAACGUCUGACUUGCAGCGCAUACUGGUUUCCUUGAGUACGCACAACGUUGGCGGAAUUCGUCGUGUAGCGGUGAAAUGCUUAGAUAUCACGAAGAACUCCGAUCGCGAAGGCAGGUGUCCGGGCUGCAACUGACGCUGAGGCUCGAAAGUGUGGGUAUCAAACAGGAUUAGAUACCCUGGUAGUCCACACAGUAAACGAUGUAUACUCGCGGUUUGCGAUAGAUUGUAAGCCGCCAAGCGAAAGCAUUAAGUAUACCACCUGGGGAGUACGCCGGCAACGGUGAAACUCAAAGGAAUUGACGGGGGCCCGCACAAGCGGAGGAACAUGUGGUUUAAUUCGAUGAUACGCGAGGAACCUUACCCGGGCUUGAACUAACGGUGACGAAUCUAGAGAUAG
rnacentral:rRNA from 1 species